UACCUUACAGAUCUGCCCUAUUCUGGCAUGAGUGGCUUUUCCAGUGUGCUCUCCAUCAAUUGCAUUUUCACGGAAGAAGAAAUAGAUUUUGUCAUCUUCUGGAUUGUCACUUUCUGGUAUCAGGAAUGGCCAUACUGGCUUAGACCAAGGUUUACUUAGAUCAAUGUACAGACUCCAGCAUCAACCAAAAGAAAUUAUCUGUGACAAAGUAAGAAUAUGGAACACGUUGAACAACAAAGACCAUAGAAAAGAUCUCAGUGGAACUGUGUCUGUUACCUAUUCUCUAUUAAAAUAAAUCUUUUUAGACAACCAAAAACAUUAGAAAUCUAUAAACAGCUUAAGCUCUCCAUCUCUAAAACAGGAACUCAAGCUAGCCUUCAAGUUACAUUGACACAAGGCCCUAGAUAAAUAAUAUCUAGAUCAUAUUGUAACAAGGUUAAUAUAUGUUAUUUUUAUAUGAUCUAUCACCAAAAUAUCUACAUGGCAACCUGAGGAAGGAUUCAUCAGAGAAAACAGACACCCAGACACUGGUCUGGGCUACUGGAUCUGAAGAACUGGUCUGAACACAUAAGGUUGUUUUUACAAUCUUAAGGUCUUAAUGAAAAGGGUAAAAAAACAUUCAACCAAAGUCUAAAUACAUUCCCAAAUGGCUGAAUGAUUUGUCUCCAGCACAACGGGUUUUGUAAAUCACAAGAUAUCAAAUUCUAACAUAAAUCACUAUAUUGUCAGACAUCAAAAUUCUAACUUUACACUGGUUUGUGAUGAGCCCAUGGGGAGACCCAUUCAAGUCAGCAAUAUUGCUGAUAUAGUAAAGGUUAUAUAAACUUGCCCUAGGUUAGCAUAUUAUUAUUCUUUUCUUUCUGUCUCUUAAUUUUGCAAGUGAACCUAGAACAGUAAGAAAGCCUAGUAUUUGAGCAGAAUUGAUAAAAGAAUUACACAAAAUAUUUGAAGAGGUUAAAAAUAUGUAUUUCAGAUAACUAGCAGAGUGGUAGCAGAGGAGAGGGGUAUGAGUAAGUCAAAUAGAACUAAGGCCAUAGCUAGAGCAUGUGAAUAUGCUUUUUACAUAUUUCUUAGCAGUGUUCAUCUGGGAAGAAUUCAGAAUUUCAAUUAGUGAUUAGUAAUUCUAACUACAUCCCCCAAAAUAGAAUGCUCAUACAGCCUUGUAUUAGAGCAUAUCUUUUGUACAUCAUUGAACAGCUUCUGCUGAAAAACACUUGUGUUUCUUACUGAGCAAACCUCAGUUUGUUUUGCCACCUGGUUAAAUUGAUAUGUUUUAGUCAAUAAAAGAGUGGUUCUUCAUGUUAUACAUCCCUCGUUCCUAUUAUUUUUUCCCCCUCUUCCAUAUAACAUUUUGUGUGUCUAUGUAAUGAAACAAAUGAAGGGAAAAAAAAAAAAGGCUAUAUGUGUUCUGUUGCAUAUAGACACAAUUU